CACUGCCAUCUCUGCAUUGCUUGAGUUCUCACUCAUGGGUAUCUCCGACAAGAAAGAAAAGCCGCAGCAACCGCUACGUCCUCACAAGGAACCUUCUCCUCCUCAAACUCCACUUGCAUCUCCUGAAGAGAAGGUUAAUGAUCUCCAGAAGGAGAUUCACCAGAUGUCUGUUGAAAGAGAAACUUUCAAGCUUGAAAUGAUGAGUGCAGAAGCUAUGAUCAGUAUUCUCCAGUCAAGGAUCGAUGCGCUGCGUCAGG
rnacentral:lncRNA from 1 species